AUGCAACUGGUAGUUUGGGUCAGCAAGUAAGUCCAUAUUAUGGUUAUGGACAAGGUUAAAAGGAUUAUGCAUAUGGUGCAUAUGCUGGUUAUCAUAUUAUCCUCAACAGGUUAGUAUGAAUUGUUACAGCAAUUUAGUUGUCAUUUACGCUAAACUCUUUAUAUUUGGAAUUAGCUCUAUGAACUUUGACGUUUUUAUGACGAUGCUCGUAGUCAAUUUUUGAAUGCUAUUGAAAAGAAGAGAUGCUUGGUGAACCAAUUUAUCCUUGGUUGUUUUUGAGUUUGCAACUCGGUGGCCCAAUAAUAGGUAGAUGGUGUCAACGAUAUCACCGGCGCCAUUCCAGUUGUAGAAUAAAAAGAGGAACUUUAUGACCCCCUAGUCGCUCCUGAUGUUAACAAGUUAAAUAUAAAAUUCAUGGAAAUGCCACUUAUCGUUGAAAACCUCAUCUCUUCCGCGACAAGCAUAGGCAUUAUACGCAUUAUAUAGCGUUAUGAUUCUCAGUUUGGCUGUCUUAAUCUGAGCAACAUAUGCAAGAAAUUGUCACCAGGAUUGAAAAUAUAUGUGCUUACCAUCUGUUUAUUUUGUUCCCCUGAUCAGGACAGAGUAAUGCUAUUGGAAGGAGCAUUUCUGUUUGCUGUAGCAUAUUUUCUUAGCUUAUUUUGUUAUCAUCUGUUGAGUGGUUUUGGUGACCUCUUUUGGUUAUGGACAAAUUAAUAGUGUUUGAGCUUUUCCGCAUUCA